rnacentral:misc_RNA from 1 species
UGUUGCCAUAAAAACAUGGUUUAAUCUACUUUCACCACCACAUACGCCAGCACCAAUGACAUCCUUAAACUAAAUUGUUAGAGUUCAACAUUAAACAAAACAGUAGCAGGUAGAACACAUCUCACAAACAGAUAUGUCAUAGAAGAUGAAAUACCCCCUUCUAAAACCCAUAUCAAAACUCAAGACUUAAAACAAAGACAAGCAGAAAUUGCAAACUGCAGCAAAUGUAGGCCGAA